AACGAGCGCUGGCGGCAGGCCUAACACAUGCAAGUCGAGCGGACCUUUCGGGGUCAGCGGCGGACGGGUGAGUAACGCGUGGGAAUAUGCCCUUCUCUACGGAAUAGUCCUGGGAAACUGGGGGUAAUACCGUAUACGCCCUUUGGGGGAAAGAUUUAUCGGGGAAGGAUUAGCCCGCGUUGGAUUAGGUAGUUGGUGGGGUAAUGGCCUACCAAGCCGACGAUCCAUAGCUGGUUUGAGAGGAUGAUCAGCCACACUGGGACUGAGACACGGCCCAGACUCCUACGGGAGGCAGCAGUGGGGAAUCUUAGACAAUGGGGGCAACCCUGAUCGAGCCAUGCCGCGUGAGUGAUGAAGGCCUUAGGGUUGUAAAGCUCUUUCAGCUGGGAAGAUAAUGACGGUACCAGCAGAAGAAGCCCCGGCUAACUCCGUG
rnacentral:rRNA from 1 species